rnacentral:rRNA from 1 species
CAGCAGCCGCGGUAAUACGUAGGUGGCAAGCGUUGUCCGGAAUUAUUGGGCGUAAAGGGCUCGCAGGCGGUUUCUUGAGUCUGAUGUGAAAGCCCCCGGCUCAACCGGGGAGGGUCAUUGGAAACUGGGAAACUUGAGUGCAGAAGAGGAGAGUGGAAUUCCACGUGUAGCGGUGAAAUGCGUAGAGAUGUGGAGGAACACCAGUGGCGAAGGCGACUCUCUGGUCUGUAACUGACGCUGAGGAGCGAAAGCGUGGGGAGCGAACAGGAUUAGAUACCCCUGUAGUCCCUGUCUCUUAUAC